CGUGGCGUACGGCUCAGUAACACGUAGUCAACAUGCCCAAAGGACGUGGAUAACCUCGGGAAACUGAGGAUAAACCGCGAUAGGCCAAGGUUUCUGGAAUGAGCCAUGGCCGAAAUCUAUAUGGCCUUUGGAUUGGACUGCGGCCGAUCAGGCUGUUGGGUGAGGUAUGGGCCCACAAAACCUGUAACCGGUACGGGCUUUGAGAGAAGGAGCCCGGAGAUGGGCACUGAGACAAGGGCCCAGGCCCUAUGGGGCGCAGCAGGCGCGAAACCUCUGCAAUAGGCGAAAGCCUGACAGGGGUUACUCUGAGUGAUGCCCGCUAAAGGUAAUCUCUUUUGGCCACCCUCUAAAAAAUGGUGUUAGGAAUAAAGGGGGUGGGGCAAGUCUGGUGUCAGCCGCCCGCGGUAAUACCAGCACCCCCGAGUGGUUGGGACGAUUAUUGGGCCUAAAGCAUCCGUAGCCGGUUCUGCAAGUCCUCCGUUAAAUCCACCUGCUCAACAGAUGGGCUGCGGAGGAUACUAUAGAGCUAGGAGGCGGGAGAGGCAAACGGUACUCAGUGGGUAGGGGUAAAAUCCAUUGAUCCACUGAAGACCACCAGUGGCGAAGGCGGUUUGCCAGAACGCGCUCGACGGUGAGGGAUGAAAGCUGGGGGAGCAAACCGGAUUAGAUACCCGGGUAGUCCCAGCUGUAAACGAUGCAGACUCGGUGAUGGGUUGGCUUCGGGCCAAUCCAGUGCCGCAGGGA
rnacentral:rRNA from 1 species